rnacentral:rRNA from 1 species
GACGAACGCUGGCGGCGUGCUUAACACAUGCAAGUCGAACGGAAAGGCCCUGCUUUUGUGGGGUGCUCGAGUGGCGAACGGGUGAGUAACACGUGAGUAACCUGCCCUUGACUUUGGGAUAACUUCAGGAAACUGGGGCUAAUACCGGAUAGGAGCUCCUGCUGCAUGGUGGGGGUUGGAAAGUUUCGGCGGUUGGGGAUGGACUCGCGGCUUAUCAGCUUGUUGGUGGGGUAGUGGCUUACCAAGGCUUUGACGGGUAGCCGGCCUGAGAGGGUGUCCGGCCACAUUGGGACUGAGGUACGGCCCAGACUCCUACGGGAGGCAGCAGUGGGGAAUAUUGCACAAUGGGCGGAAGCCUGAUGCAGCAACGCCGCGUGCGGGAUGACGGCCUUCGGGUUGUAAACCGCUUUCGCCUGUGACGAAGCGUGAGUGACGGUAAUGGGUAAAGAAGCACCGGCUAACUACGUG